rnacentral:rRNA from 1 species
AUGAACGCUGGCGGCGUGCUUAACACAUGCAAGUCGAACGGAAAGGCCCAAGCUUGCUUGGGUACUCGAGUGGCGAACGGGUGAGUAACACGUGGGUGAUCUGCCCUGCACUUCGGGAUAAGCCUGGGAAACUGGGUCUAAUACCGGAUAGGACGAUGGUUUGGAUGCCAUUGUGGAAAGUUUUUUCGGUGUGGGAUGAGCUCGCGGCCUAUCAGCUUGUUGGUGGGGUAAUGGCCUACCAAGGCGUCGACGGGUAGCCGGCCUGAGAGGGUGUACGGCCACAUUGGGACUGAGAUACGGCCCAGACUCCUACGGGAGGCAGCAAUGGGGAAUAUUGCACAAUGGGCGCAAGCCUGAUGCAGCGACGCCGCGUGGGGGAUGACGGCCUUCGGGUUGUAAACUCCUUUCGCUAGGGACGAAGCGUUUUUGUGACGGUACCUGGAGAAGAAGCACCGGCUAACUACGUG